rnacentral:rRNA from 1 species
CGGUAAUUCCAGCUCCGAUAGCGUAUAUUAAAGUUGUUGCAGUUAAAAAGCCCGUAAUUGGAUUUCUGGCGGGAGUUCCAGGUCCGCCCGGCAACGGGUGUGCACUUUCGGAACCUCCGGCCACUUUUACACCGAGUGACUCUGGCAUUAAAUUAUCGGGGAUCGGGAGGUGUAUCAUUUACUGUGAAAAAAUUACAGUGUUUAAAGCAGGCAAUCUGUGUGAAUACCUUACCAUGGAAUAAUAAAAUAGGACUUUGGUGCUAUUUUGUUGGUUUGCACACCAAGGAAAUGAUUAACAGGGACAGUUGGGGGUAUUCAUAUUUAGAUGUCAGAGGUGAAAUUCUUGGAUUUUCUAAAGAUGAACUACUGCGAAAGCAUUUACCAAGGAUGUUUUCAUUAAUCAAGAACGAAAGUUAGGGGAUCGAAGAUGAUUAGAUACCAUCGUAGUCUUAACCAUAAACUAUGCCGACUAGGGAUCGGCAGACGUUAUCAAAUGACUCUGUCAGCACCUUAUGAGAAAUCAAAGUCUUUGGGUUCCGGGGGGAGUAUGGUCGCAAGGCUGAAACUUAAAGGAAUUGACGGAAGGGCACCACCAGGAGUGGAGCCUGCGGCUUAAUUUGACUCAAGCACGGGAAAACUUACCAGGUCCAGACAUAGUGAGGAUUGACAGAUUGAGAGCUCUUUCUUGAUUCUAUGGGUGGUGGUGCAUGGCCGUUAUUAGUUGGUGGAGUGAUUCGUCUGGUUGAUUUCGUUAACGAACGAGACCUCAGCCUCCUAAAUAGGAGCGCUUUCCAUUGGAAGGUGACUCACUUAUCAGAGGGACAUUUGGGUUCAACCCAAAGGAAGUCUGAGGCAAUAACAGGUCUGUGAUGCCCUUAGAUGUUCUGGGCCGCACGCGCGCUACACUGACAGAAUUCAACGAGUUUAUCACCUAGACUGAGAUGCUCUGGGUAAUCUUUUAAACAUUCGUCGUGCUGGGGAUAGACGAUUGCAAUUAUUCACCUUCAACGAGGAAUUCCUAGUAAACGCGAGUCAUCAGCUCAGCAUUGAUUACGUUCCCUGC